AUAUGAUACUUAGUGCCCUGGGGACACAAGGUGGGAGGUUCUCCUUUGCACGGGCUUUCCUGCAAAGGCUCUGUUGCUCUAUCAAUCAAACAGCAGGACAUAGGCAACCUAAGCAAAGGGAAAUGCUUGUAGGACUUCCAGGAUUGAUUAGAUAUGGACAGCAGGUUUGACAGUGGGGAGGAGCAAAGGCUAUGCUGCAGGGCUGCCCCUGUUCCUUCCAUCCCGUGGAACUCUGUCAAGAUCCAAAGUCCAGAAGACAGCAUCUACCUGACCAAGCUUAAGUCAUAUGUCUGCUCAUAAACUUAGGGAUGGGGAAGGGAAGGGAAGGGCAAAGGGAGAGGUGAAAUCUGUUUCUUUCCCUUUCAGUAGAGAUGAAACUGGUGCCUGGAAUAAUUACCUUCUUACUAAGAUUAAACACACUAGGGAGUUAUUCUCUAAAAGGAAAACAAACUCAGAUUAGGAAUGAAGAAUGGAAGCUGGACAAAUCUUUACAAUGACCAAUGACUCUUACCUGGACAUUCAGGCAUGGGGAAGAAUAUGGGUAAAGGCAAGUCCUUAGUAAUACUGCUGAACUGCUGGAUCAAGCCUUACCUGAAACCAACUGACCUUGGAGCUUUCCAGUUAUGUGAACAAAUUUGUGCAAGUCUUAGAAGCCUAGAUACACUUACUAUGCACCAUAUUUAAGAAUUGUUGAUUGAAGAGGUGGACAAUAAAACAAUCAAGCCAUAUUUCCUGCAUGCAAAGGACCAGUAAUUAAGGAUGAAGGGGCAUGCUCUCUUCCUCCCCUGCUUUCCCCUAUUGUUACCAAACAUUAAAUAUUCAAAAGCAUUUGACUAAAAAUGUCACUACACAUUUAUAAUAUUCCAUUAAAGCUGAUAUAAAAAAUAUUAAUAGACAUUUGUUAUGGUAUUAUAGCAUAAAAAGGCUGUAGCGGCCGGGCGCGGUGGCUCACGCCUGUAAUCCC
rnacentral:lncRNA from 10 species